rnacentral:misc_RNA from 1 species
UUAAUUCCUUGCUGCUCAUUUUCAUUCCUUCUGAUGUCUUACUAAUUGGAAAAACAAUAUCGUUUGCAGUAACUUCAACUUAAUUAGACUUCUUUGCCCGAACAUCUAACUUCCGGGGCGUUAGCCCAGUAAUGGUAGAGACUGAUAAUAAUAAGCAAACAUCUUUUUUACUUGGCAGACACAAAAACAAUACAAACUAAUGUGAAUGUUACAUGUUACGUAAUCUUGAAAAAUGUUAACAAGUAAACAAAUUUAACUUGCAUCUCAAUCAGACACCCUACGAACUCCCAAAAGUAGAUCUACAAUUUGCUACACAAGAAGAUAAAAUAUCUAAUGGUACAAUUCACUCUGAAGUAAAUCAAUAAUAGAGUGCGCUGAAGCCCACCAAUCAGCUGAAGUAAUGCAGGCAUAAUGAUGUAACAUCCCAUGAUUAAGGAAUCAUUGCAGCUAGAUCGAAAUGAUGAAACCAGCUCUUGAAUUUGCCAUACAUGAUCCAGACUAUGUCUAUUAACAUUUGCGGGAAUGUCAGAAUAUCUUUUAAUAGCAGAUUCAUCUUCAGAGCAAACGGAACUUGCUCCAUUUCAGUUAGACCACACAUGAACCAAUCCAUGCCUAUUACCAGUGUAGAUCUCAUUCCGCUCUUCGUCAUAGAAAAGUGCAGUUAUGUCUUCCAAAGCCUCUGCAACUGUACUUCUGAUAGGUGAAUGACUGCGCUUAGAGCUACUGCCACUGCACUCAUCACGUUUCGGAUUGCCAUUGCUUGCGUUUAUUUUGGCCAAGCACUUACCUGUCAAGAUGUUGCUGACAUUGAUAGAACCAGCUGCAUCAAAAAAAAGCAAAUUAUGAUGUGAAAUGAAAUAACUUCCCUUAUGCUAACAUUCUCUUUGGUACAUCACAAUGAAGAAAAGAGCCAAAUAAUCUUGAAUGAGCAAAGAAACAAUCAGAAUGAGAUCAAAAUAUCUAUUAAGAUCCAGCAAUUUAUCAACCACCAGGCUAUCCGGGUACUCUUCCACUACAUUGACAUGCUCCUCUUUAUAUCUACAGACUGUCUCCUUUAUAAUAACUCUCAACAUUAUAGGAAAAAGAGGAUAAAUAGUCUGAUAGUUUCAACCAAUUAAAUGAUAUUCAAGUUAGCAAGAUUCUGGCACUCUGCCAGCGGAAAUCAUAAACUGCCUAAACACUGAUAAUAGUUGCCAACCAAAACAGUAGCAUGAAAAAUUACCAUUUCCUUCCAUCCACUGGUCCUCAGAUUCAGCUUUGCAGUAAGAAAUAAUAAGAUCCUGAUCACUUGUUAUAUAUAUGUUAUUUGUGUUACAGUCAGGAUGCCAUAACAGGUGAUCCUCAAAUGAAGUUACAAGCUCCCCACGAAAAUUCCAAACAGCAACAGUUCUAUUUCUGAAAGUUAGGAACAGCUGGUUCUCAUAAAGAAAGAUAAAUGCUGAGGGAGUCAUGAACUCAGUCCUGCUAACUUCCAUUAGCUCUGCAUUUCGAACAUCAAGGAUCUGAAGAUUCUCAUUUUCCUGCUUAACAAGGAGCUUUUCAUUAAAUUGUUCAAUGAAGUCCACCUUCUUAUUUCGAUGAAGCAGAUGGUUGAAGGCUUUUAGAACUGUGCCAUCUUCUAUCGAUAAAAUUUUAAGAGGAACAUGGCUACUUGCUCUAUUGAAUAUCAACAACAUUAUUCCUGGACUGAUUUUGAUUUCUUGCACAUGUUUGUCUGAUAUAGAGUACAGCAUUGUAUAGUUUUUAAGGUCAAAAACCUUGUAAACGCUGACCACAAAAAUUUAUUAAAAAAGAAUGUUAGAAUUGGUAAUGAAACAUUUUGCAGUCACACAGAAAGAAGAUGAAAGGUACCUGUCUUGGGCAGAGUAGGUUAGGACCUUUCCAUUAACAUCAUCAAAUUCUACAAACCCUGGCCACUUCAAGGACUCAGACUCAAAAAGAGCAAAACCAGCAUCUGGCUUGCCCCUCCUUAUAUACUCAAUUCUAGUUGAUCUGCAUUUCAAGGAGCUAAAGUUGUCUGAAGCAUAAACUGAAACUGUGAUGAGUGAAUCAUUGUUCUUAUUAUAGAACAAGCUUCGAAUGACUUCAUCAGGACUCACAUUCAGAAAACAUAUCCUUUGAUUUGACUCUCUACUAAAAGCUGCACAAACACCAGAAUGUGCAAGAGCAAAGACAAUAUCACGUGCAGCUACAAUCUCAAUGACUUUUGUUCUCUUCAUCAAAAAGGGCAGCACUACCGAACAAUGGCCCUUGGGAUCAUGAGUAUCAUACUCCUCCAUCAAACUCAUAUUGCGAAACCUCUCCUGGGAAUUGCUCAUACUGAAAGCACGAUCUCGCUUAGACGAAAUCUCGCGUCUCUGCAACUUCUUAACAGUGUUAGAAAAUCCAUUGGUGCGAGGCCUUUUCUUCGCCAAUAUCCUCCUUCCCGAGCAUGGCCUUGGAUUCGCCGAUAUCCUCCUUCCUUCCAUCCUCCUAAACUACUUGUAUUUCACCGCCAGACCCGAGAGACGGAGAAGGAAAAUCAACACUCCCUCCCUCUCAAUCUCUCUCCACCUUUAAUUUUAAUUCUAUCCUAGUAACAAAAACCCUAAAACAGAAGAAAGAAAGAAAGAAGAAUACCUCACUGCUCAACCUCGAGGCCAAACCCUAAAUUAUAGAAACAGAAAAGAAAGC